rnacentral:tRNA from 1 species
UGGCUCAUUUGGUAAAGAAUCUGCCUGCAAUGCAGGAGAUCCAGGUUCAAUCCCUGG